rnacentral:rRNA from 1 species
UACGUAGGGUGCGAGCGUUGUCCGGAAUUAUUGGGCGUAAAAAGCUCGUAGGCGGUGUGUCGCGUCGGCCGUGAAAACCUGCAGCUUAACUGUGGGCUUGCGGUCGAUACGGGCAUCACUGGAGUUCGGCAGGGGAGACUGGAAUUCCUGGUGUAGCGGUGAAAUGCGCAGAUAUCAGGAGGAACACCGGUGGCGAAGGCGGGUCUCUGGGCCGAUACUGACGCUGAGGAGCGAAAGCGUGGGGAGCGAACAGG